AAAAAGGGCCUUUGUCUACAUGGCACUCGGUGUCUCACGACGCUGGGCGGAAUCGCAAUCAAGAGAUUUCGGAGGCACAAUUUUUACAACAGAGGCAGUUGGUGCUCGCUUGGCCUGACGCCUCG